UUUUCUUCUAGAGAGAGAUUCUCUCUAUCUCUGUUAUUUUCCUUUCUCUUAGUUUAGUGACAAGAAUCUGUUUUCAACGGAUUUUUCCUACCCCUAAGAGUAGGGGAGGAUAUUUUAGGCUCCCCUUCCAAACGUGGAUCUAUUCCUCCUUGCUCUGGGUGGAUUGUGAAUUUUUUUUUAUUAUUUUUAUUUUUGUUGGUUGCUAAUUGUAGAGAUGGAAGAGAGGACACGCAUGUAGCCAACCAGCCUUCUUUAUGUUUUGGUGGUCGAUUAGCCGAUGGAUGCUCGCAAAUCUACCCG
rnacentral:lncRNA from 1 species